AUGGGGUCUUUCGAAGUUGCACAGGCUGGACUCAAAACUGUGAUCCUACUGCCUCCAUUUCUGGAGUAGCUGAGAUUACAGGUGAGCACCACCACACCUGGGUUACGAUUCUUUCUUUACACAUCUCUCUUCCCUUCUAUACUCCUUGAGAAAGAAACACGUCCUAAUCAUGUUUAUUCUAUGAAAUAGGAGGGUUCAGGUAAAUGAGAGAGGAUAAACAGAGUUAAAAUUUUGAGGUUGUUAUAUUUGUGAGGUGAGAAGCCCAGUGUGGUGGCACACACCUGUAAUCCCAGUGGCUCAGGACGCUGAGGCAGGAGGAUCACAUGUUCAAAGCCAGUCUCAGCAACUUAUCAAGACCCUGCCUCAAAAUAAAAAAUUAAAGGUGCUGGGGUUGUGGCUCAGUGGUAGAGUGUUCACCUAGCACACACUGAGACACUGGGUUCAAACCUCAGCACCACAUAAAAAUGAAAUAAAGAUAUUAUGUCCACCUACAACUAAAAAAAAUAAAUAUUUUUAAAAAUUAAAAUUAAAAAUUAAAAAAAGGACUAGGGAUGUGGCUCAGUGGUUAAGCACCCAUGUGUUCAAGCCCUGGAAUCACAGAGACAGAGAAAGAGGGAAUAUGACAUUUUAGCUAUGAAAUCUGAUGUAUGAAGUGCAAAGAGGUAAAAUGACUAAACAGAUUUUGAUAACUUAUGGAUACGUUCUGCUAGCUCUAAGAACCCACUUAAAAAUAUUUUUUUAAUGUGCAGCUAAGAAGAAAAAGGAAACAAAACAGAAUGACAGAAUAUUUUUCUAACACAAAAGAAAUUAGCAAAGAGCAAAAGAAAUAAAAAAAAAUAUACUAAAUAAACAAAAGGAAAACAAAUAGCAAGACAGUGGAUAUAGGCUGGGAAUGUAGCUCAGUGACAGAGUGCUUAUCUAGCAUAUGUGAAGCCCUGGGUUUGAUCCCCAGCGCUGCAAAUAAAUAAAUAAAAAUGCAAAGAUAGGAAAAUUGAGCACAGUCAUGUCAAUGAUUAAAUUUUAAAAUCCUAAAUAAAAUCUAGAGAGUGUUCAACUGGAUAAAAAGCAGAAAUCAAACAUACACUAUUUAUAGGAGAUAAAUGUUAAUUAUGAAGACAAAGUUUGAAAAUAAAAGACAUCAUGGGAAGAGCAUAAGAAAUCAGGAGAAAAUAUAUUCAUAAAACACAAAAUAGGCUUUAAGACAGAGCUUACAAGAGAGACAUUUCGUGAUGAUAAAGUAGGCAAUUAUUUAGGAAAACAUAAGAAUCCUAAAUGCAUAUAUACCUAAUAACAGCUUCAAAAAUCAUAAAGCAAAGCUGAAAAAUAGAGAAAUAGACAUAUUCACAAAUGUACAUCAUAACCAAGUUGUUGACAACCAGAAAAAUCUUAAAAGCAUCAGAAAACCAAUAACAAUAUUAAGUACAGAGAAACAGAAGUAAGGAUAACAAUAGAUUUCUUGCCAGAAGCAAUGCUGCAAAACAAAACAAAACAAAACAAAAAAACAAGGCAGUAGAGUACUAUCUUUAGAGUACCAAAGAGGAAAAAAAAAGUAAAUUUCUACUGGGUAAAACUAUCUUUUGAAAACAAACACAAAAUACUUUACCAGAUAUAUAAAAACUGAAAGAAUUAAUCAUAGCAGAUACACACUACUAGAAACAGUAAAGCAAAUCCAUCUGGCAGAAGGAAAAUUAUAUCAGAUAGAACUAUGUGUCUAUUUUCUCAGAUAAAAGAUAUGUUGAUCCAUAUAUAACAAGACUCCAUAAAUUUGGAAGGAUUUAAGUUAAAUAAAAUAUGACCUCUUAUCACAAUAGAAUUAAAAUAUAAAUCAGUAAUAGAAAGAUCUCUGAAAAAUCCCCCACAUAUUUGAAACUAAAUUAAUAUAUUUCUAAGUAACCGAUGUGAAGAAGAAGAAGAAGAAGAAGAAGAAGAAGAAGAAGAGGAGGAGGAGGAGGAGGAGGAGGAGGAGGGAAAGAAAGCAAGCACAAGGAAAACAGAACACAUUUUGAAGUAAAGGAAAAUGAAGAAACUAGAUAUAAAAUUUCGUGGUUUGCAGCUGAAGCAGCAUUAGAGAAAAAUUUAUAGCAUUAAAACACCUACUUAGAUAAAUGGAAAGGUCUGAAAUGAAAUGCCUCAGCUUCCUCCUUAGAAAGCUAGAAAAAGCAAAAUGAAUAAAAUCCAAAGGAGGGAAAAAAGAAAUAAUAAAGAUCAGAUCAGAAAUCAAUCUUUAACCACAAUAAAACAAAACCCAGAAAACAAAUAAUAAGAGCAAAAAUGAACUUUUUGAGAGCUGGGGACUUAGCUCAGUGGUAGAGCACUUACCUGGCAUAUGUGAGGCCUUGGGUUCCAUUCAUCCCCAGUUGUGGAAAAAAAACCAAAAAAAGAAACUUCCUCAGUUUGAUAAAGGAUAAAGGGCAUUUAUCACAAACCUUCAGAAUACAUGAUUCUUAAUGAAUGACUCAGUGCUUUCCAUCCAAAACACAGAACAAGGCAAGAUGUUCUUUUCUCCCCAUUUCUAUUCAACAUUGUACUGAAGGCUUAAUAAAACCAUAAAAAAGGAGAAAGAAAAGGAAAAAAGAAAAACAUUCUGAUUGAAAGGAUGUAAAAAAAAAUCUUUAUUCACAGGUGACAUAACCACUAUAUUGCAGAAUGCAAAAUCAGUAUACAAAAAAAAAAUUAUUCUAUUUUUAUAUACUGGCAAUGAACAAAAAGAGGUUAAGUUAAAACAACAUCAUCAACAUGAAAAAGGUGAUUGCUUAGGAAUUAAUCUGAUGAAAGAUACACCAGGCCUGUAAACCCAAUAUACCAAAACAUUCCUAGGAGAAACAAAAAACAAAGGGAUAUCCCAUAUUCUUAGAAGUCUCAGAAUUGUUAAUCUUCGAAGACUCAAAAUGGUUAAGAUGUCCAUCCUCCUCAUAUUGGUAUCAUCUGAGAUUUACUGUAUAGGAUCUAUUGUAUACAUCCAAUACAAUCUCAAUCAAAAUCCUAGCAGGAUUUUGUUUUGUACAGCACCAGAGAUUCCACUGAGCCAUAUCUCUAGCCCUUUUUGAGACAAGGCCUUGCUAAGUUGCUUAGGGCUUCAUUAAGUUGCCAAGGCUGGCUUUGAACUUUCGAUCCUCCUGCCUCAGCCUCCUGAGCUGUUGGGAUUACAAGUGUGUGCCACGACGCCAGGCCAAGUAGGAUUUCCUAGAAAUGGAAAAGAUGAUUCUAAAAGUUAUAUAGAAAUACAAAGAACCUAAAAUAACCAAAGCAACUUUGAAAAAUAAAAGCAAUGUUUGGGAAUUCCACUACCUGAUUUCAAGGCUUCUGAUCAAACUACAUACGCUUCUUUAGAUAGUGUGAUAUUUGUGGGAAAAAUAGACAAAUAGAUCAAAAGAACUGGAUAGAGUCUAAAAAAGAGACCCACUCAUACAUGGACAACCAUUUUUGACAAGAGAGCAAAGGCAAUUCAGUUAAGAAAGGAUAGUCUUCUCAAAACUGGCACUCAACAAUUAUAGAUCCAUGAGCCAGAAAUGAAGUUUGAUCCUCAUGAGGCUGAGGCAGGAGGAUCAGCCUCAACAACUUAUUGAGGCCCUAAGCAACUCAGUGGGUUGGGGAUGUGGCUAAGCGGUUAAGCCCCCUGGGUUCAAUCUCCAUAAUGUGAAGAAAGAAAAGGAGACAGAAAGAGAGGGAUGAAGGAAGGAAGGAAGGAAGAAAACAAAUAAUUCUCCCACCUCCAAAUAUAUAUAAGACAUUUGACUUCAUUUGUCAUCAGGGGAAGACAAAUUAAAACCACUAAGAGAUACACUGCACAUCUUUUAAAAGUCUAAAAUCAAAAAGGGUGACCCUAAUAAGUACGGUAGGAUGUGGGGCCAGCAGAAUUCUCAUACACUGCUGGUAGGAAUGUCAAAUAGUGCACUAUGUUGGAGAACCUUUUUUUUUUUUUUCACAAGUUAAAAAUAUGCAUAGCGUAUGACCUAGCCAUUCCACUUCUUAGCAUUUACCUCAGAGAAGUGAAAGCGUAUCUCCACACAGAUUUGUGUUUGAAUGUUUAUAGCACCCUUUUAUUACAAAAACUGGAACCUAAAUGUCCUUCACAGGUGACUAGGUAAAACAAAUUGUGCUCUAUCCAUACUGUGGGCAACUGCUCAGCAAUAAACUGGAGCAAGUUGUUAUAUACACAAUAACAGGGCCCAAAUCUCAAAACAAUUAUAGUGAAAGACACCAACAAAAAUGAAUAUACUGUAUGAUUCCUUUUAUAUAAAAUUCUAGAAAUACAAACCAAUCUAAAGUGACGUAAUAGAUCAGUGGUUUCCCGUGCAUAAAAGGAGUAGGGAGGAAAAAGAAUGAAUAAUUACAAAGGAAUACAGGGAAACUUUUGUGGACAACACAUCUUCACAAUCUUGAUGUGGUGAUAGUUUCAGAGAUGAACACAAAUGUCCAAAUUCGUAAAAUAAACUGGGUAGAGUGGUGCAUACCUGUAAUCCCAGUGCCUCAAGAGGCUAAGGCCGGAGGAUUGCAAGUUUGAGGCCAGCCUGGCAACUGAGUGAAACCCGUGGCAGCGUAGUGAGACCCUGUCUCAAAAUAAACAAUGAAAAGGACUGGGGAUGUGGCUCAGCCGUAAAGCUCCCUUGGCUUCAACCCCCAAAACCCCCCAAAAGUUUUCAUAAAUUAUAACUUUAAUAUGUGCCAUUUAGUGUAUAUGAAUUGCUUUCACUUAAACAUCCAAAAUAAUAAAAACAUACCUAAAAAAAAAUUUUUAAAAACUACUCGGGGCUGGGGCUGGGGCUGUAGCUCAGCGGUAGAGCGCUUGCCUAGCAUGUGUGAGGCACUGGGUUCAAUCCUCAGAACCACAUAAAAAUAAAUAAAGGCCCAUUGACAACUAAGAAAAUAUUAAAAAAAAAAAAAAGCUACUCGGCAUCAGUAUUUUCCUUCAGAAUCUCUUGUAGCAGCUGUCUUCCUAGUGAGCCCUUCCCCUGUGGCACAGAGCCAGGGCGUGGGCAGCAGUAGCCAUGGUCAGCAGUUUAUGUUACCACUCAGUCCAUUAGGGCAGACUCCAGUGCUUUCCAGUCCCCUCCCCGCUGCCUUCCAGCCGAGGAAACCUCCAGCCCUACUUUUGCUCCCCACCCUCAGCCUUCUCAGUGUGUGACUCCAACUGCUUCCUCACCAAGACCUAUCAGUUGUCCCCAAGCAACAGCUGGACAGCCUGCAGUGGCAACUCCCUUCUGCUCCAGGCUCCUCCCUCACCUUCCUGGCUGAAGACAGCACCUCCAGAGUCUUCCCCCAGCCCUCAAAGCCCUAACUCAGCCCCCUCUGUCAGUCACCUCUAGGAAAGGCCCCUGUUGUCAUUUCAAGGAGAUUGAAACAGUUUGGUUCUCACCUAAUCCUUCUGUUGGCACUGCAUGUUUGCUACACAUGCUAACAGCUGGUUGAUAGAGCAGACCCCAGGACAGAAGGAGGAGGGGUGGCGCUAAUGAGUUCUUCCUGGUGCUAUGCUGAUGAGAUGCAGACAAACUAGUGAGUGGGGCCCACCUUUCUCCUGGCCUCCAUGGGUCACCUCCCUGAUCUGCUUAGCUCUGGGCCUGUGGGAUUUGGAGGCUGGGGCAGGGCAGGAAGCCCAGGGAGCAGCAAAUGUGGCAGGACCUGCCUCCCGUCGGUCUCCCUGCAGGACCCAACCUCAGAAAGAGCAUCACCAAGGAAUUGAGUCAAAAGCAGGUCUCGGAGUUCCCCAAGGGCCUCAACAAUUCACAGCCACUUUCUUCUCCCUCCUUUAUUCUUAGUAACUCUUUUCUUUUCAUAAAAGUCAAGUUGAUAUGUAUUGUAGAGCACUCGGAAAAAACAAAAACAAACAAAAAAGAAUCCACUUGCAAUCCCAUCACCCAGAAAGAACCAUUUCGUUUGCUUUUAUUUAUUCCUUACCUUUUUUAUAUAUGUUUUCAAAAGCAAAUAUAGGAUCAUCGUAAAGCAAUGUUUAUUGAGCAAGUGCACUAGGCUAUGCUAAACACCUCACACAAAUUAUCUCAUUUAAAGUUCAUGAUGGCUCUGAGUGAUGAUGCAAUUAUCAUUCCCAUUUUAUAGAGGGAUUAGUUGAGGCUUAAAGAAAUCAAAUACAUUGUUCAAUGUCAUUCAGCAAUUAAAUGGUGGUGCUGGGAUUCUAAUCCAGGACAUCUGACUCCAGAAUGAUCUCACUCUUACUGCUUUGAAAUUGACCAAUUAUCCUAUAAAUAUCUUUCUGAGUUCUUAGCCUUCAGCAUCAUUUUCAGUGACUCUAUAGUACUCUGUUGUUCAGAUGUACCACAAUUUUCCCAAUCCCCCAUCAGUGGACUGAGGUUAUUUACAAUGUCUUCGAUAAUAUAUUCUCCAAUAAGCAUUCUUCUUGUUAAAUAUUUACUCAAAAACUAAGAUGGGAAUCUUUGAAUCAAAACAUAUGUAUAAUUUUAAGGCUUUUGAUACCUAGUGCCAAGAAUGUCCUCCAAAAACAAUGAGCCAAAUUAUACUUCCUACAUCCUCAUCCACACUAGAAAACUAAGUAUUCUUCAGCCAAGUGAUUAGAGGCAGCUCAAGUUCUGCCACAUAAAUAAUGAAAUUUAGAUCAAUUAGGGAUUUGGGGCAACCCAACCUCUUCCAGUAACUACACACACACAUCAGCACGACAGCUAAGCCAGGCACUGAGCGGAACGGAGUCUUGAGCAGACAGUGUGACCAGCUGCCACUUCCCCAAGCUCUCAGCAGCGCCUCUGUGUCCAUCAUUGUCACCGAACAGUCAUUGUCAGUGAUGAAGAAGGAGAAUGUCCCUGAAUACCUUAGCUGCUGAACCCAGGGAGUGGCAGUUUAGAGCAGAGAGAGGACAGAGACCUGGGGCUCAGGACUCAGGACUCUCACCUCAGCCCUGGCUUUCUGGGAGUGGGGGUGGAAUAACAGCCUGGAGUGCCCAUCUGUCCCAGUCCCCUCUGUCCCAGACUAGGACCUGAACUGAUGCCAACUGAUGUAUACUGCACUCCUGUUGUAUGCCAGCCAUAGGCUAAGCAUGUCACUUUCGUUAUCCCACUUAACCCACAAAUCUUUGUAACACUACUUUGGUGUUUGUUUGGCAGAUGGGAAAAAAAUAGACAUGGGAAGCUUAAGUGAUUUGCCCACUUGGACUGGGAGCCAAAGACAGAGCCAGAAUUCCAACCCAGGACAGUCUGGAGGGCACUCACUUCUAACACUGGGCUAUGGGUCCUCUCCUCCCAUCCUUGAGAGUAUGACCAUGUCUGUUUUGUUCCUCACUCUGUUCCCAGCACCUAGCCCAACACCACAAUAAGCAACAUAGAUUGGGCACUUGUCUUAGUGACUUGAAACAGCAUCCACUUUUUAACUCACAGCUCUAUAGUCAGAUGUCCCCACACAGCAUCACAGGGUCUCUGCUCAGGAUGUCACAAGCUGAAAUCAAGGUAUCUGCUGGGCUGUCUUCUCAUGGGGAGCUCAGGGUCCUCUUUCAGAAUCACCCAGAUUACUGGCAGAAUUCAGUUUUCUUCCACAGGAUGACUGGGGCCUGCAAGUUCUUACUAGCUGACAACCAGGGCUCUCUUAGUUCCAAGAGGCUCCCUUCAAGUCUGACCUUGUUGGGGCUGGGGAUGUGUCUCAAGCGGUAGCGCGCUCACCUGGCAUGCGUGCGGCCAGGGUUCGAUCCUCAGCACCACAUACAAACAAAGAUGUUGUGUCUGCCGAAAACUUAAAAAUAAAUAUUAAAAAAAAAAUUCUCUCUCUCUGUCUCUCAAAAAAAAAAAAAAAAAAAGUAAAAAAAGUCUGACCUUGUUGCCCCUCCAUAAGCCUCUCACACUCUCACCCUUGAUCUUUUCCUUCAGGAAGGGUCCAAGGGCUCACCUGACUGGGUUAGGCCCAUCCAGGAUGCUUUCCCUUUUGAGUAACUCAAAUUUAACUACUUAGGGACCUUAACUGUACCCGUGAAAUCCCUCUCAUCCUAUAAGGGAAGCUUAUCACAAGAAGGAUGGCCUAUCAUAGUUACAAAUCCCUCUGACAUUCAAGUCCAAGCCAUGGAUGUCAGGCAUGGGAAUCUCAGGGGCUGUCUUAGAACUCCGUCUACCGUAGCAACUGUGCAGAUAAAGUGAAGGAAGGAAGUGCUCAUCUGUGCAGACGGAGGAGCGGAGUGGCUUCAGUGUGCACUAAUCCUGGGAUAUAGUCUAGAAGUCUGAGUUUGACAGAGCCUAGGAUCACUUCCCUCUUUAAGGGGCAAGCCAUGACACCCGGGCAGGCCCAUGUGGAAGCUGAGGGGAUGACCCAUUCUCUGGAGCUUGGAGCAGGAAUGGGGACCCUGGAGCUCAGGGUCCUCUUUCAGGAUCACCCAGAUUACUUGGAGCAGGAAAGAGGACCCUGGAGACAGAGUUCUGAGCAGGAAGGUGAUCAAGAUCAGAGAGCCCACAAAACUCCUCCAGAUGCUUGAGCAGAACUUAGGUGGAAAUCCAGCCCCACAUCCCUGCUGCUUUCAGGUGGGUAGAGGAAGCCACAUGGAGCAAAUGGGUGGCCUUGGAUGCAGGAGGCACAGUCUGGACUCACUGAUGGGCCGAGGGAACUGCCCUUAGCAGCCCUUCCUCCCAGGCUCUCCUGCUGUGAUGAGAGGUAAGUGCCAGACAGGGGCCUGUGGAGUGUUGGGGACUGGAUGACCCCUGGCCCCUCCCCAAACCAGGCUGCAAUCAAACCCAACUAAGCCCCUCUCGCCUCUCCCUCAGGUGAGCUGGCCCCUUACCUCCCUCCAGCUCCAGUAUCUUCAUUCAAGCAACAAGACCAUCAUGUUCAUCAAGACUGUGGACAAGAUCCAGGCAUGGUGGAGCGUGCCUAUAAUCCUGGCAGCUUGGGAGGCUGAGGCAGGAGGAUAGGGAGUUCAAAAGCCAACCUCAGCCACUCAGCCAGAACCUGUCUCUAAAUAAAAUAUUAAAAAGGGCUGGGGAUGUGGUUCAGUGGUUAAGUACCCCUGGGUUCAAUCCCUGGUACUAAAGAGAGAGAGAGAGAGAGAGAGAGAGAGAUCACAAAGCAGAUUUUAGUUUUGUCUGUUUUAAUAAGGAAAGUCUGGCUCCUCAAAAUACAAUUAUUAUGUCCUCUUUUCAAGGUCCCAGCUUCCUUUUAUAGCGCACUCCACCACCACUGUCCCCUCUGUCUUUCUUCCUCCUCCUCCUCCUCCUCCUCCUCCUCUUCUUCUUCUUCUUCUUCUUCUUCUUCUUUUUGAUAUUUUUUAGAUGUAGAUGGACACAGUACCUUUAUUUUAUUUUUCUGUGGUGCUGAGGAUGGAACCCAGUGCCUUCCACAUGCGAGGUGAGUGCUCUAGACUGAGCUCCAACCCCAGCCCCAUCUCUUUCUUUCUCUGGCACAUAUCAAGCUCUGUGCCCUUUGGAGUUACCUCUGAAGAGCCUUAAAAAAAAGCAACAAAAGUCUCCCUCCUCCCUGUUGGUUCUUCUGAACCUGCUCCCCAGCUUUCUGCUCUCCACUCUGGCCUGUCCCUCUCAGCCUCAGUCCCCUUCUCCCAAGGACUUGCACUCCCCUCCCUUUCUGCACACUGUGCCUGGAUGACCUCACUCAUUCAUCCAGCCUGUCUCCAGGAGCAGGAGCAGAGCUCACCUAGAGGCAGACCUGCCUGUGAACACUUCCACCGGCUGUCCUGAGUCUCACAGGCCCAGAAGGACCCUCUGCAUCCCUUCCCCAAACCAGCAUCUGCCCUAGGUCCCCAUCUCCCAGACACCCUGCCCUCUGCUCAGCCACCUGGCUCUCAAGUGGAGGCCCGUCCCACUCACCUCUCCUCCAGCUAGAGGAUCUAGAGUAACAAAGCGCUAGACAUCCACCACCCAGAUGUCCUUAGCUGCUGUCCCCUUCUUGACACACCCAUUCAUGCCUCACUUCUCUUGCCUAAAAUUUUCCAUAUUUAAUCUCCUAACUAAUUACUAGCCAGGGCACUUGGACUAAGUCACUUUAUCUCCUUGAAUUCCAGUUACUUUCAUGAAAAUCAGAAAUAAUGAUGCUCACUGCAAGGAGUGUGGGAAAGACAGAGAAAUAUGUCACCUGACACCUUGUUCCACCUGUGCUAAACACAUCUGACCUCAGUCCUCCCCACUUCUCAGCCCUAUCUCUGUCCUGUGGUUUAUGCUCUACAGACACAUCUGAUUUCUAAAGUCACAUUUGCCAAACACACCCUGAAAUUUUCUGCUUCCAAAAAUCCAGCAAGAGGUGAUGACUGUCUUUGUGUUUUUGUUUUUUUUUUCAAGUUGGUAUGGUAUAAAAUUAUCUGGUUAUUUUGGUUUAUCUAAGAUAUUCAAAUCAGAAGGAUACCUGAAUUUUUUUAAAUAAUUAUGAUUUCUUAUUUAGAGCUUGUCUCUGGAAGUUUUUAUAAAACAAAGUAGAAAGAUCUCAUUUCUGCCAAGAAUUAUCCUUCCUUUCACUCUGCUUUUGGAAGAUUUGCAAUUCAAAUUGAGGAUAAACCCUAUUUUAACUUAGAAAAACACAUUUCCUCUAGCAAUGACAUAUUUAACACCUCCCCCGCCAAAGUGUUAUAUCUCUGUACUUUAGAUAUGCAACAAUUUAAUAAGAAAAUUCAUUGAUCUCUCCUCCCUUUCUUAUUCUUUCCUAUCAUCUCUGUAAUAAUAGAAAUUUAGAACUGCACAAUCCAAACACACACACACACACACACACACACACAACCUCUCCUUUGUCUUUUUAGAUUACCUUCAAAUCAAUCAAACCCCAGCAAUGACAGAGGCUGCAUUUAAUUCAAAUUAUUUUAGAUGACAUUAGCUUAUGUCUAAAGCCUCAGAGUCAAAAUGAAACAAAAAAUUGAAAUAAAACCCUUAACUUAGUUGAAUUAUCUUGAUAACAGUCCAAAUUUCUGGAUUCCAAGAGAAAUGCUUUCAGAUGGAUACAGAAGAAACAGUACAUUGGUGUUGAUGAGUAGAGAGGACAGUGGCUCUGGGGUGUCAUGCAGACUGUGUGGGCUCUGGAGGCAAACUGCCUGGGCCUCAACCCUGAGCUGAGUAGCUGGUAAUUUAGAGGUUUAGUUUUCUUAUUUGGGGUUGUUGUGAGGAUGAAAUGAAUUAAUUCAUGGAAAGCCGUAAGAACAGAACCUGGCACAUACUAAGUGCUCAGUGAAAAUAGGAGUCAUUAUUAUUCCAGAUAAAAUCAGUAUCCAUUCCAAAUGCUACAAAUCUGGAGACAGAGUAGAACCUUCUACUCAGACAGCCUGGUUGCCAAUUUUGGCUUCAACACUUACUAGCUGUUAUGACUCUAGCCAUAUUACCCAACCAUUUUGUGUUUCCAUGGCUCCAUUUGUAAAAUCAGCAUUCAAAUUUGUAUCUGGUGCAUGCCUGUAGUCCCAGCCACUUGGGAAGCUGAGGUGGGGGAUCACUUGAGUCCAUGACUUCAAGACUAGCCUGGUCAACAUAGCAAGACCCCCACCUAAAAAAAAAAAAAUGACUUGUAUCUGCAUCAUGAAUAUUAUCAUGUAUAUCAAAUCAGACAAUGUGAAAUAACACAGUAAAUGUUCAGCAAAUUUUGGCUAUUUUUCCUAGUGUGCUAAAAAAAUAAAAUAAAAUAAAAAUUUAAUAAACUUAGAACUGCUUUUCCAAAUACAUGAAAGUUUCAAAAAGGUAGGGCUAUAAGAUUUUCCACUUCAGUUACUGAUUGGGGGUCAAAUAGCAUUACCAUAUACCUCCUAGUUGGGAGGCGACUGUCCCCACAUAGUUUUGGCGAUCAUCUUUCCCCUCUUAGGAUAGAGUCAGACAUUCCCUCUCCCAAAACUGGCAGUCCAUGGGCAUAUGACCUUGACUCAGCCAAUCAGAUGUUCAUAACUGGCAACUGGGACAUUUCCUCUGAAAGUGGAAAGAAGGAACAUGGAGAGAGAGGGCAGAGACAGGAAGAAUGGACUGAAAGGGGAGACUGGCAGUCUCCAAAAUGGCACCUCCAUUAUUUUGUCUCUCCUAAAAUUCUUAAUUACAAAAUCAAUGAGCUGAGGGUGAAGCUCAGUGGAAGAGCACUUGUCUAUCAUGAGUAAGGCCCUGGGUUCCAUCCCCAGCACCAAAACCAAAAACAAAUUCCUAAACUGUGCACCAGUGGCACACGCCUAUAAUCCCAGCAGCUCAUAAGCAGAAGCAGGAGGAUUCCAAGUUCAAAGCCAGCCUCAACAACUUAGUGGGACCCUAAGGAACCCAGUGAGACCCUGUCUCUAAAUAAAAUAUAUAAAAGGGCUGAAGAUGUGGCUCAGUGGUUAAGGCUCCUAGUACCUUAACCACAAAAAAUGCCUUGCAGGGGGCUGGGUUUGUGGCUUAGAGGUAGAGCGCUCACCUAGCGCAUGCGAGGCCCUGAGUUCGAUCCUCAGCACCACAUAAAAAUAAACAAAAACAAAGAUAUUGUGUCCAACUACAAUUUUUAAAAAUACAUUAAAAAAUGCCUUGCAACCAGAAACAGCAUCCAUAAAUCCAUAAAUGUAUUUGGGAAGUGUAAAUAAUCUCCUUGGGAAGUAUCCUUAUCAAUUCUGCCCCCCCACCCAGUUAACUAAGUCCUUCUGCAACUUCUCCCUAUGAAACAGUCUGUCAUAGCCAUUCCUCAAGGUCAACAGAAUCCAUUGUACUUACUCCAUUAUGGCUCCAUAACUUUCCAUAAAAUAAUUGCACCACUAUUUUUUCAAACACUCCUCUUUGAACGGGUACCUGUUUAGAUGACCAGCACAAUUUUAAAUGCACAUUCUCAGCAAUGCAACAACCUCACUUUCAGGAAUCAAACCUACAGAAAGCAAGCACUCGUUCAUACACAAGGUUAUACAUACAAGGAUAUUUACUGCACACUGCUUAGAGUGUCAGAUACUGGAAAUAACCUAAAUGCCCAGCAGUCUCCCCUUAUCUAUGUUGUUUAUGACAUUUUUGUUUGAGAAGGGGGAAAAUUUCAACUGUAAAAAGUGUUAUAUGAAAACCACUACUAAAACCCAGGUGAGAACUGGGACUUUUAGGUUCCUUCCAACAAUGAAAUUUUAGAUGUCUUUACUUUGGGGGAUGGAGGGAGGCAGGAAGAAAGAAAGAAAAAAAAAAGAUGUAUAUGUCAAGGUCAAAUUACCACAGCACAAGUGGUUCAUUUUUAAAUCUAUUUUACCCACAAAGUCAGCAAAUUUGAAGCCUCAGAGAUUCCCAAAUCCAGGUUUUGCUUCCAUCCAGAGAGCCUCAAACCUUAACAUGCAUCAGAGUCACCUGGCACUCUUGUUUAACUGCAGAUUGACUCAUUAGAUCUGGGGUGGGGCCUGAGAUGUUGCAUAUCUGACAGGCAACCAGGUAACCCAGAUGUUGCUGGUCUAUGGAGUACAUUUGUGGAAGUAACUGGAUUGACUCACAUCUGCUUGCUGUCUGAAUUAAAUCCUAGAACUAUCCAAGUUUUGGAACUGAAAGUCCUGAGUCUCAGGAAAGACUUGCAUCCCAGACAAACCAGGAUAGUUUGUCACUCUGGCAAUUGGAUUAUCUAACGUCAAAUGACUCAGAGUUCUGAAAAGUAAUAUAAAUGAAUGAAGUUGGCUGGUUGGAAACUUUGGCAAACAGAAAAGUUUAAACAUCCAUGUACUCAAGCUCUUCCCAAGGGUUUCCAAUUUGCAACCUUGGCCUACAUGAUCCCUUAGACUCUAAUCAGCUGAGAAAUGCUACACUAUGUUUUUCCUUGAUGUCAGCUGUAAAUGUCUGUGGGCAAUGGGUCACAGUGAAAAUAUCAGAAUGAAGGAUUGCCCAGAAACAGACAACAUAGGGGGAUAAUCUACUCAAACACACUGUGGAAAGCCAACCUCUAAAUGCUCCCCCCACCGAGUGAUAUAGCUAACCUCUGUAAUCAAUAAUAUAUUGUGGAUAUGAUGAAGUGUGACUUCCAAGGCUAGACAUAAAAGACACUGGGGCCUCUGUCUUGCUCCUUUCUUUGGAUCACUUGAUCUGGGUGAAGACAGCUGCCAUGCCAUGGGAAUCCCCAAGCAACCCUGUGGAGGAAAUCACAUAACAAGGUACUGAGGCCUCCUGCCAACAGCCAUGUGAAUAUGCCAUCUUGGAAGCAGAUCUCCCAGCCCCAAUCAAGCCUUCAGACUGACUCUAUUUUCAGCCAACAUCAUAACUACAACCACCCAGCUAACCCACUCCUGAUUGAGCCCUCUAAAAACUCCCCUAAGAUCAAAGAUGCAAGUUCCAAACUGGCAGCCAGCAAAGCUACAAACAAGUUUUCUUUUCCAUGUACACUUUUUAAAAAUAUAAAUUGGCCACCAAUAUCUAGAAAAGAUAUUCCUAUGUAAAUCUUGAGGCCCAGCAUCUCCUAAAAUAAUUGCAAGAGCUUCAAACCAAGGUCUUCAUUCCUACAGGUCAAAGAUAGGUCAGGGCUAAGCCACUCUAAGGGGUACCUGUGAUGCCCAUGUCAGCACACCCAUCACCUGGUUCAAGUUACAUUACAUUACAUUACCCUCACAUUACCUACCAAUCCCCUUAAGUCUGUGAUCCUUGACCUACAGAUCAAAAAAACUUUUUUAUCAGUGGUACUCUGGCCUCUGGACUAGCAGCAUCAGCGUCACCCAGAAACUUGUUAGAAAUGAAAUUUCUAGGAUCAACCCAGAAAGUCU
rnacentral:lncRNA from 1 species